rnacentral:rRNA from 1 species
UCUGAAUCUGCGNACGGCUCCGCAAACCAGUUGUAAACCAAAGCAAGCAAGCCCGGUCUCGACGCCUUUCGGGGCUAGGGGCCGGGCUACAAGGAUAACCCUGGUAAUUCUGAGGCUAAUACUUGACACGAACCUGCUGACUGGGUCUCGGCUCGGGAGGUGGGGGAUGUGCGACUAUCGGGCCAACGAAACCGGAAAGAGCGCACGUUCAGACCACUUAAAGAGGCUUCGGGGUCCCUCGGGAUCCCGGGGCUGUGGCUCUUGCAGCGUGCUUCUGACCUAUCAACUAGACGGCAGC